CAGCGACGCCGCGUGAGGGGAUGACGGGCCUUCGGGUUGUAAACCUCUUUCAGCAGGGAAGAAGCGCAAGUGACGGUACCUGCAGAAGAAGCGCCGGCUAACUACGUGCCAGCAGCCGCGGUAAUACGUAGGGCGCAAGCGUUGUCCGGAAUUAUUGGGCGUAAGGAGCUCGUAGGCGGUUUGUCGCGUCUGCUGUGAAAACCUAAGGCUCAACCUUGGGCUUGCAGUGGGUACGGGCAGACUAGAGUGCGGUAGGGGUGACUGGAAUUCCUGGUGUAGCGGUGGAAUGCGCAGAUAUCAGGAGGAACACCGAUGGCGAAGGCAGGUCACUGGGCCGCAACUGACGCUGAGGAGCGAAAGCAUGGGGAGCGAACAGGAUUAGAUACCCUGGUAGUCCAUGCCGUAAACGUUGGGCACUAGGUGUGGGGCUCAUUCCACGAGUUCCGUGCCGCAGCAAACGCAUUAAGUGCCCCGCCUGGGGAGUACGGCCGCAAGGCUA
rnacentral:rRNA from 1 species